UGCCAGCCGCCGCGGUAACACGUACUGUGCGAACGUUAUUCGGAAUCACUGGGCUUAAAGGGUGCGUAGGCGGCCCGACAAGUCAGGUGUGAAAUCCCACGGCUCAACCGUGGAACUGCGCUUGAAACUGUCGGGCUUGAGUGUCCUAGGGGUGAGCGGAACUGCCAGUGGAGCGGUGAAAUGUGUUGAUAUUGGCAGGAACACCAGUAGCGAAAGCGGCUCACUGGAGGAUGUCUGACGCUGAGGCACGAAAGCCAGGGGAGCGAACAGGAUUAGAUA
rnacentral:rRNA from 1 species